UUAACCAACGAAAAAAGACAUACGAAAGUUAACCAGCGAUAGAAAAAACCUAAACCUAUCGCCCGCUCGCUCGCGCCCCUGUUGCUCCCUCCUCGAUCCCGAUCUGGAUCGAGGGGACGAGGAGCUCCUGCCUCCCCGACGGCCGGCCUCCUCCUCGCCCCGCCGCUGCGUCCGGCGCCGCGACGGCCUCUGGAGCCAGGGAAGCCAUGACCUGAGCUCGGCCUCGAGGUCCCCGCCGCCGUCUCCUACAGUUUCUGCCCCGCCGCCUCGCCGUCGCACCAACCUCAGCGUCGCGCCGCCGCCGGCUCUGGUCGCCUCCACCUCCGCUCCAGGCAACCCUCGGUCGCCGGCUCGCUGGAGCACGACGGCAGACGAUGGAUGCCCUGGUUGUGUGCGACGGAUGCAGUUCUCACGCGCAAGCUAGGGUUGGAGCCGCCAGCUCUUCAUCCUGCCCGCCGGCGGCGACUCUUCCCGCCCCGCACUCCCGCCUCCCCAUUAUCAUAGGGUACAUUUAUGUUUCAUGAUCUGUUCUGCAGAUUUUCAAAACACUGAGUGCAUAUCUUGCCUUGCAAUGCUGCUGAUUCGACAAUCGAACUGGAUUCAAACUGGACUUGCGACCAGAGCAACCCCAAGCAAGAUGAACUCGAUUGGAAGAUGUCUUCUAAACUCUGAAGGCAAGCACUCGGCCGACACUUUUGCUCUUGUAGAAGGCAUGCCAUUUGAUUCAUGCCAAGAAGCGUACGGACAAUAUAAGCUAUUUGCUUUGGAGGAUGGUUUUGGAAUUCAUCAUGGAAAGCCGAGAUGAGGGCAUGCACGUUACCAGUUGACGCACAAAAUUGUGUGCUGGUGCUAGAUCAGUUACAUAGCGUCUUGCUUGAAAUUGUAGUACAACUAUAUUCUUGUCGUUUCCCCAGCCACUCCAUGAUGGUCUUGCGCUUGAAUUUUUUCCAUGCUUUGAAAUUGCUUGGUAUUUAUAUUGUAGCUAGCAUUGUCAUUGUCUUGUUUGGUUUUCGGUGUGCAGGUUAAGAGGGACAAUGAUAAUUCUUCUUCGUGCAAAACAGAACGAAGGCGAGGAUGCGUCUCCUCCAUGCAAAGCAGGUUGGUAUGUGAGCAUAUUUAGCAACGAGCAAAAUCACCCUCUGUCUGCAAUUUGUGAAGAGAAGAGGCAGUGGAACUCACACAGUGAGAUCAAUCCAGUUCUUAUGAUUUUCAUCAAGAAUCUCAAAGCACCUCAUCAAUUUUUGCAAACAGAAACCAAUGAAAAAACAAUUGGGGGCAUCUCGAGAUUGAAGAUUGUGAAAUUUACACAAGCGAGAUAUACAAAAAGUUUGAAGAUGAGUUCUUCAAAUCAAUGUCCUUGGUUGUGUCUAGGUGCAUCAGUGAAACUGGAUGCGAAAUUAAGUGUGCGCGUCCAGAAUAUUUUCAGGCAUAUGGGAAUGUUGUGCAAACAUUUUGUUGGUUUCAGACAAUUGAAAGCAGUGCUACAGUCCAAAUUUUGCCAAGAGAAAGGAGUUUAGGGAAGACGACAGAGGAGGAAUAUGAUGUUGCCCCAACCCCAGGUACUACCUUUACACCCGUAUCCACUUUUGGACAAAAUCGGGAUCUAGAGUUCAUGAAGAGCGCGACUGAAUUUAAAAAGGUCCGUGCGUAUUCUUGGUACCUCGAGGAUGAGAACAAGCCACCCAAAAAAUGGCCAGAAGGAAGCACCAUAUGUGCAGGUGUGUUCAUGUGCGUUAGAAGGUAAGUUUGUGCUUCUAAUUUCCUAAACAUUCCUAUUACAAACAGAAAACAUCUAUGGUUGGUGAUAAUAAUUAUUGGUGAACAUUGUUAUUGGUAAACCUACAUGCUGUCGAUCUGCCUCUUCUUCCUGUUGCAAUUAUUGAUGGCCAUUAUUAUUGCAAUUUUAUCCUAAUUUAUGUUCAGCUAUUACCAGGUUCUUUGAUUGAAUCCUAAUUCAAACUUCUAACAUACGCAAUACUUUUUGUGCAAUUAUAAGAUGAUGCAUACUCUGACAGUGCUUUGGCCACAUAAAAGGUAAAUCCAUCAUUGUGGAGAUGUCAAAGUUGUCACAAAGACAAGCAUCUGAACUUUCUUUUUGGAAUGAAACAAAGAUGCAGACUAACCGUAUCAUGUUUUUUUUGACAUCAACCAAUAUCAUGAGUUGGUUCAGGACUUCAGGUAUAUAUCACUAGUAUAACAAUCAAUUAACCAUAGCAAUUGUUACUUUUUUUAUCUACUCUCAAAUGCUUCUCUAUUUUAAAUACCUAUUAAAUGUUGUCACAAUCACCCUAUUUCCGCCGCACUAAGGGCUAUGGCAGGAAGGAGCCCACCGUCGGCAUCGCCCAUGGCCGAGAAGACCGAGGACGCCGAGGACCCAGCGCCCUCAAGUACGAUGGUGUUCUUUCUGUUAUGACUUACGGUGAUGCCUGAGGAGUUUUGAGAUCAAUCUUGAUCUUCAUAUGACUGUGACCGGGAGGCGAACCGGUUGCGCUUAGAGACAAUUGAUUAAUGGAGAUCCUCCAGCCACCGAGCUCGGAAAGGAAACCUAGGCGAGAAAUCCACGCUUGUCCAUACCGCUUGCCGUUUAGGCCGAGCAACUUCGUGAACUUCAACCCCAUCAUGUUGUAAGAACUAAUAGUUUACAAAAUAACUAAGUUUUUAGAUUGGAUAUUCUUCCA